UACGGAGGAUGCGAGCGUUAUCCGGAUUUAUUGGGUUUAAAGGGUGCGUAGGGGGGAUGCCAAGUCAGCGGUAAAAAUGCGGUGCUCAACGCCGUCGAGCCGUUGAAACUGGCGUUCUUGAGUGGGCGAGAAGUAUGCGGAAUGCGUGGUGUAGCGGUGAAAUGCAUAGAUAUCACGCAGAACUCCGAUUGCGAAGGCAGCAUACCGGCGCCCUACUGACGCUGAGGCACGAAAGCGUGGGUAUCGAACAGG
rnacentral:rRNA from 1 species